GGCUGAAAUUCGCCUUCAUGAAGCUGGAAUUGCUAGUAAUGGCAGGUCAGCAUACUGCCGUGAAUACGUUCCCGGGCCUUGUACACACCGCCCGUCACACCAUGAGAGUUGGGGAUACCCGAAGCCUGUGAGCUAACAGUAAUGGGGCAGCAGUCGAAGGUAGAAUCAAUGAUUGGGGUGAAGUCGUAACAAGGUAUC
rnacentral:rRNA from 1 species